rnacentral:rRNA from 1 species
CAGUAGCCGCGGUAAUACAGAGGGUGCAAGCGUUAAUCGGAAUUACUGGGCGUAAAGCGCGCGUAGGUGGUUUGUUAAGUUGUAUGUGAAAGCCCCGGGCUCAACCUGGGAACUGCAUCCAAAACUGGCAAGCUAGAGUACGGUAGAGGGUGGUGGAAUUUCCUGUGUAGCGGUGAAAUGCGUAGAUAUAGGAAGGAACACCAGUGGCGAAGGCGACCACCUGGACUGAUACUGACACUGAGGUGCGAAAGCGUGGGGAGCAAACAGGAUUAGAUACCCCGGUAGUCCCUGUCUCUUAUAC